CACCCCAGUGCGAGAGAGCUCUGGGACCUCUGGGAAGCCUGCUGGACGUGUCUGAGCCAGGUACUUUGUUCUCGCAGUUGAAGUCCGAGGCCAAACCGCCUUCGACGGCCAUCUCCGCCAUCCUGGUCAAUGUGGCGCCCAAUGUUGUUACUCCCACCAGCACCUCCCCUCCUUUCACCAAAGUAGAGCGGACAUUCGUACACAUUGCCGAGACUACCCACCAUAAUGUGAUGAGCUCCUCAGGGACUCUGCAGCUCAGGCUGCUACUCCCUGGACUGGUUGAGGAGCCCACAGACGAACAGGAGAACCACUCGGAGGAAGAGAAAGAGCAGGAUGUCUUGGAUGGAGAGAAAGAGAGGAGCAGGGAGAGCAGAUCCGAUGUUGACCGUUCAGACUUUGAGAAGGAGAGGGAAAGUGGAUCUGAGGGCAAGGUUCCAAACAGAGACAGUGAAGAGGGGAGGGAGAGUGGAUCUGAGGGCGAGGUUCCAAACAGAGACAGUGAAGAGGGGAGGGAGAGUGGAUCUGAGGGCAAGGUUCCAAACAGAGACAGUGAAGAGG
ensembl:lncRNA